UACGGAGGGUGCGAGCGUUAUCCGGAUUCACUGGGUUUAAAGGGUGCGUAGGUGGGCAGGUAAGUCAGUGGUGAAAUCUCCGGGCUUAACCCGGAAACUGCCAUUGAUACUAUCUGUCUUGAAUACCGUGGAGGUGAGCGGAAUAUGUCAUGUAGCGGUGAAAUGCUUAGAUAUGACAUAGAACACCAAUUGCGAAGGCAGCUCACUACGCGAAUAUUGACACUGAGGCACGAAAGCGUGGGGAUCAAACAGG
rnacentral:rRNA from 1 species